UACAGAGGGUGCGAGCGUUGUCCGGAAUCAUGACGUGGGCGUAAAGGGCGCGUAGGUGGCGCCGACAAGUCCAAUGGUGGAAAGCCUCCGAUGCUCAACAUCGAGUCGGACCACGGAGAUGCGGGGCUCGAGCGACUGUAGGGGCAGAUGGAAUUCCGGGUGUACGCGGUGGAAUGCGUAGAGAUCCGGAAGAACACCGGUGGCGAAGGACGGUCUGCUGGG
rnacentral:rRNA from 1 species